rnacentral:rRNA from 1 species
GACGAACGCUGGCGGCGUGCUUAACACAUGCAAGUCGAACGGAAAGGCCCUUCUUGUGGUGGGUGCUCGAGUGGCGAACGGGUGAGUAACAAGUGAGUAACCUGCCAUUUACUUUUGGAUAACGUCAGGAAACGGGGGCUAAGAAUAGAUAGGAGCUCCUGCUGCAGGGGGGUGGUUGGAAAGGUUCGGCGGGUGGGGAUGGACGCCCGGCUUAUCAGCUGGUUGGGGGGUGAGUGGCUUACCAGGGCUUUGGCGGGUAGCCGGCGUGGGAGGGUGACCGGCCACAUUGGGCCUGGGAUAGGGCCCAGCCUCCAACGGAGGGCAGCAGUGGGGAUAAUUGACCAUUGGGCGGAAGCUUAAUCAAGCACGCCCGCGUGCGGGAUGCCGGCCUUCGGGUGGUAACCGCCUUCAGCAUGGGCCGAAGUGUGAGUGACGGUACUGGGUAAAGAAGCACCGGCUAACUACGUG